rnacentral:tRNA from 1 species
GUGUCUGUAGCCUAGUGGUAAAAGGCAGCACUCUAGAUGCUGAGGAUGUGGGUUCAAAUCCCACCAGACACA